UGGAGAUGCCGGGGAUUGAACCCAGGAUCUUUCACAUGCAAAGCGGACACCACUGAGCUACAUCCC